GCAGUUGCUCCACCUAAAGACUCCAGUCAUAUUAGAGAUGUGAUCUGUCCAGAUGAGAUUUCCACAUGUCUGGAUGAUACAACGUGCUGUGAACUAGAUACCGGAAGUUACGGAUGCUGCCCGAUGCCAAAGGCUGUGUGUUGUUCAGAUCAUGUGCACUGCUGCCCAGAGGCCAC